GUGGAUAACAUCAAUCAACCCGGAACGAUUUACGAUCUCACUUAUUCAAAACUAAAGAAUCGGAGAAUCCAGUUAUUACUGUCAAUGAUUACUGGCUAUACAGAUAAAUCAAAAAGUAAACAUAGAGGACAAUGAUGCAUUAGAGACUGGCAUAUCAUCUCAUACGGACAACACUGCAGGAGAGUUUUUUUAUAUUUGAACAAUUCAGCUUCGCUUCAAAGAAAGUUGGACGCCUUGAAAAAAAAAUUAAACUCACCGUUUGGACUUACGGAAGAUAUUGAAAAUGCUAUAAAGUAGGGAUAUUAUACGGGAUUUGUAUAUACUUUUGUAAAUAAUAUAUUGUAUGAUAUUUUAAAAGAAAAUAAUGAGUACCACCAGUGUUACUACAAAUGGCUAGUGAAUUUAGUAAGUAAUUUUGCCAAUUUUGUAAAAUUGGCAAGAAAAUAAUUACUAAAUAGUUAGUAAUUUUGCCAGUUUUCGCAAAAUUGGCCAAAAACAAAAAAAAAUAUCUACUAAAAAUACUAGCCAGUUGUGUCUGAGUUUAGCGAACCGACUAUAACUCUUGUUAAAUUAAGGUUGAGUUUACACUUUUGACUUGCCUACAGAUUUAAAAACAUUUUUGUCAUAAUAUACAGUAUGUCCCUGUAAGUUGGAACCAUAAUAUGGAAAACUUUUUUAUUAUUCAUUUUACGAAAAAUAGUUGUUCUACAUAAAAGGUUCUGCAAUAUCUAGAAUCUCUGAUUCAACCAUCAGAUAGUAAAUUUUUAUGGGUGUUACACAGGGUAUGUCAAAAAAUAUGAAUUUCACUCAAGAGAAAAGUAGCUUUAUUUUUACAAUAUUGAACAUUGUUAUUAUGAACAGUUAAUUGGAAUUAGAACUAUAUUCUAAUAUGCAAUUACAUCCUUCUAAUUGAAAAAGAAAUUAAAAAUUUUUCUCGGCAUAUAUCAUCAACAUUAUUUUCUGUUAUUUCAAUUAUGAUAACUUUUGUUAUUAAUUUUACGAAAGAAAAGUUAUAGAAUGUUCUGCAUGAUCUAAAACCUAAAAUAUAACCAUCUUAUAUCAAA
rnacentral:lncRNA from 1 species